UUAAGUUCAGCGGGUAUUCCUACCUGAUCCGAGGUCAACCAUUGAAAAUUGGGGGUUUCACGGCAGGUCACGAAGCUCUCCAAUGCGAGGUACAGUACUACGCAGGGGAUCGCGGUCGGGACCGCCACUACAUUUAGGGGACGGCCGCAGGGGAGCGGCCGAGCCCCAACACCAGUCACGCUCCCCGAAAGGAGGUUCCU
rnacentral:misc_RNA from 1 species